AUGUAUGCCGAUUCCAAGCCCACCUCAGAGAUGAGGAACUCAAAUGUGCGCUGCAUCCGUCCACCUGAACGUGCUCUUCAAGUACGCCACCGUGAUUGUGAUCUCCUCCUCGCCGAGGAAUGCAACAGACUGAAGUGCUUGCCUGAACAUCCCAGAGCCACGAGGCACACCUAUGUUUUCAGCGCACGCCACCAUUGCCUGAACAUGCUCCGGGUUGCUGGCGAUCAUCCUCGGUCUUGAGAUGCACAACUUGGCAAUAUCGCAAUCACCUAA
rnacentral:rRNA from 1 species